rnacentral:rRNA from 1 species
AUUGAACGCUGGCGGCAGGCCUAACACAUGCAAGUCGAGCGGAGCGUCGGACGCGUGAGUAAUGCCUAGGAAUCUGCCUGGUGGUGGGGGAUAACGUCCGGAAACGGGCGCUAAUACCGCAUACUAUCAGAUGAGCCUAGGUCGGAUUGGCUAGUUGGUGGGGUAAUGGCCUACCAAGGCGACGAUCCGUACCGGGUCUGAGAGGAUGAUCAGUCAAACUGGAACUGAGAACCGGCCCAGACUCCUACGGGAGGAAGAAGUGGGGAAUAUUGGACAAUGGCGGAAAGCCGGCGGAGGCAAGGCGGGUGGUGGGAAAAAGGUUUUCGGAUGGUAAAGCAUUUUAAUUGGGGAGGCGGUACCAAAAGAAAAAGCAACGGCUAACUUCGUGCCAGCAGCCGCGGUAAUAC